rnacentral:rRNA from 1 species
CACGUAGGGCGCAAGCGUUGUCCGGAAUUAUUGGGCGUAAAGAGCUCGUAGGCGGUCUGUUGCGUCCGCUGUGAAAACUCGGGGCUUAACCCCGAGCCUGCAGUGGAUACGGGCAGACUAGAGGUAGGUAGGGGAGAAUGGAAUUCCCGGUGUAGCGGUGAAAUGCGCAGAUAUCGGGAGGAACACCGGUGGCGAAGGCGGUUCUCUGGGCCUUACCUGACGCUGAGGAGCGAAAGCGUGGGGAGCGAACAGGAUAGAAACCCGGU